rnacentral:rRNA from 1 species
AUUGAACGCUGGCGGCAGGCCUAACACAUGCAAGUCGAAUGGUAACAGGAAACAGCUUGCUGUUUCGCUGACGAGUGGCGGACGGGUGAGUAAUGUCUGGGAAACUGCCUGAUGGAGGGGGAUAACUACUGGAAACGGUAGCUAAUACCGCAUAACGUCGCAAGACCAAAGAGGGGGACCUUCGGGCCUCUUGCCAUCAGAUGUGCCCAGAUGGGAUUAGCUAGUAGGUGGGGUAACGGCUCACCUAGGCGACGAUCCCUAGCUGGUCUGAGAGGAUGACCAGCCACACUGGAACUGAGACACGGUCCAGACUCCUACGGGAGGCAGCAGUGGGGAUUAUUGCACAAUGGGCGCAAGCCUGAUGCAGCCAUGCCGCGUGUAUGAAGAAGGCCUUCGGGUUGUAAAGUACUUUCAGCGGGGAGGAAGGGAGUAAAGUUAAUACCUUUGCUCAUUGACGUUACCCGCAGAAGAAGCACCGGCUAACUCCGUG